GGAGGACCAAGGAGGGACAAUGCCCUGGCCACAGUGAUCUUGGGAGUUUGAUGGCCUGUGCUUGGGGUCCCCCUGUCAGCCUGGCAGGAGUGGUCUCAGUGGGACGGGCCUGGAGGGGAAGCAAAGGAGGUGGCCCUUCCCAGGCUGGGUCCUCUGGCCCCAGGUCUCUCAGACUCUGCGCGAGCACCUGCCUUUUGCUGCUGGAUUCUAGGAUGUCAUGAUAAAACCCGGAAGCAGCACUGUUUUCUGGAGGGCCAAUGGGCAGCUCUCUUCUUGAAAUGCAUCGCUGGUGAUUUCCCACCACCGCCUUGGCCCCUUGCCUCGUCCAGCCCCCCAAGCAGCUGACUUGUGGCAUCUCUCCCAGCUCCGUCCUCUCUCCAUUCCCGGACCUACAACCCCAACAGCGGCCAGAGGGCGCCUGAGAGCUCCCUCCAGAAGGAACCAACCUUGCUCACACCUUGGUUUCGGACUUUUGGCCUCCUGUCCUGUGGAAGAAUGAAUUACCGUUGUUUCAAGCCACAUAGUCUGUGGCACCUUGUUACGGCAGCCCCAGGAACCUAAAACUUCUGACUUGACAAAAGGUUGGUGCGUUGAAGUUUCGAGAGUCUGAUGAUCUGUCUCAGGGACUUGAAGUUAUACAAUCAAAUGACACGCCCCACCCUCCACCCGAACAGAGGAAAAUUAAGACAAAGCAAAAACCAAAAUGCUUGCAGGUCCCUACCUCACUCAGGAAACGCUGAAGUCCUCCCAGUGGCCCCAGGUCCUGCACCACUGCCUCGUCACCCCCUGCCCUCGCUUCCUCCCACUCACCCCCACUCUGCUCCAGCCUCACUGGGCUCUUGGCUGCUCCUUAAAUAUCUCAGACACACCCCUGCCUCAGGGCCUUUGCACAGGCUGCUCCCUCUGCCUGGAACACCCUUCCCUCCAUAUCCACCUGAAGAAGUGACCUCCUUCAAGUCUUUGCUCAAAUAUCACCUUCUCGAGGAGGCGUUCGCUGUGUUUUAAAAAAAAAAAAUGCCCCAAGGGGCACCUGGGUGGCUCAGUCGGUUGAGCGUCCGACUUCUGCUCAGGUCACGAUCUCACAGCUCGUGAGUUCAAGCCCCACGUCGGGCUCUGUGCUGACAGCUCGGAGCCUGGAGCCUGCUUUGGAUUCUGUGCCUCCCUCUCUCUGCCCCUAACCCACUGGCAUUCUGUCUGUGUCUCUCUCAAAAAUAAACAUUAAAAAAAAGUUUUAAAAAUACCCCAAACUCUCUACCCCCAUGUUUCAUAUUUUCAUCACUCUCCCCAUUAUCUAGUACAUUAGUUGUUUUAUUUAUUUAUCCUUAUUUU